GACUGGUGCAUGGGCUGGAGAGUGCAGAGGAGAGUAAACUGGGGCAUGAGUGGGUGGGUGGACUGGUGCAUGGACUGGAGUGUGCAAAGGAGAGUAAACUGGGGCAUGAGUGGGUGGGUGGACUGGUGCAUGGACUGGAGUGUGCAAAGGAGAGUAAACUGGGGCAUGAGUGGGUGGGUGACCGUCGUGGUGAGUCGGUGCAAGACUUGGUGGGUGGGCAUGAUGGUGGUGGUGAGGGUGAGUAGGUGGGUGACUUGGUGACACUGCUGGGGAGAUCAAAUGAAGGUAUGAUGGGAUUUCACCAAAGACAGUGAAACAU
rnacentral:misc_RNA from 1 species